rnacentral:rRNA from 1 species
UCAGCAGCCGCGGUAAUACGUAGGUGGCAAGCGUUGUCCGGAAUUAUUGGGCGUAAAGCGCGCGCAGGCGGGAUAUUAAGUCUGUUUUAAAAGUUCGGGGCUCAACCCCGUGAUGGAAUGGAAACUAAUAUUCUUGAGUGCAGGAGAGGAAAGUGGAAUUCCCAGUGUAGCGGUGAAAUGCGUAGAUAUUGGGAGGAACACCAGUGGCGAAGGCGACUUUCUGGAUUGUGUCUGACGCAGAGGCGCGAAAGCCAGGGGAGUGAACGGGAUUAGAUACCCCGGUAAUCCUGGCCGUAAACGAUGGGUACUAGGUGUAGGAGGUAUCGACCCCUUCUGUGCCGGAGUUAACGCAAUAAGUACCCCGCCUGGGGAGUACGGCCGCAAGGUUGAAACUCAAAGGAAUUGACGGGGGCCCGCACAAGCGGUGGAGUAUGUGGUUUAAUUCGACGCAACGCGAAGAACCUUACCAGGACUUGACAUCGAUUGAAAUACCUAGAGAUAGGUACCUUCCCUUCGGGGAACAAGAAGACAGGUGGUGCAUGGCUGUCGUCAGCUCGUGUCGUGAGAUGUUGGGUUAAGUCCCGCAACGAGCGCAACCCUUAUCCUAUGUUGCCAGCGAGUAAAGUCGGGAACUCAUGGGAGACUGCCGCAGACAAUGCGGAGGAAGGCGGGGAUGACGUCAAGUCAUCAUGCCCCUUAUGUCCUGNGCUACACACGUACUACAAUGGGCUUAAAUAGAGGGAAGCGAAG